rnacentral:lncRNA from 1 species
GUUAGGAUAAGUUCAAAAAUAGAAAGGACAAGUCUGAUUUUAGGACAAGAGUCUAGGAAGAGAAUUAAGGAAGACAAGGAGAGAAGAAAGGUAGGGAUAGGAAGGCUAGGAGAAGAGGAAGAGCGUCUUGAGGUCCUGGUAUUCAAGAAAAUUCUCAGAGUGAGAAUUUUAGAGGAAGAAUCAUCUCAAAGAGUUGGUGUCCUGAUCAUAGUCCUGUGUGGAUCACC